ensembl:lncRNA
CAAUCUAAAAUGAAUGCCACAUUGACUUUUUUUACCCCCUUUCCUGAAGGUACAAAAUUGGCAUCAGCUGUCACACUGGUUGCAGCCCUGAUUCACAAGGGGUAAUUGCAGGAUUAACAGCAUGCCCAACUGGUUCAAGGAGAUCACCAUGGGUUCCUAAGUAAGGUGAGAUGAGUUGUGGUGGUGUACUGCAUCUUUUAGCAAUACAGUGAUGACUCCAUAGUUCAGCUGAUGUCCUUUGAUGAUUCAGAGCAUUGUCUUUCGCUCCUAUCUGAUGUAUCCGCACACAGAUAUAACAAAUCUGUGGCUACUGGCUCUACCUGACUUGUGACUUUGUUUCUCUUGCAGGCAGCCUGUGGUGGAUGCCUCUGGAUCACCAUUUACGGUUGGUAUUGAGUUGAUGCAGUUGUACUGCAUCUUAGCAAUACAGUGAUGACUGCAUAGUUCAGCUGAUGUCCUUUGAUUCAGAGCAUUGUCUUUCGCUCCUAGCUGAUGUAUUGAUGUGCUAGUGGCAUGUUGGUGUUAAUAGAUUGAAGCUGGUCUAAUGUGGUGGUCUCUUGUGUAGGACCUGGUGAAGGAGCUCUUGGAAUGAAGCCCCCCUGAGCCUUUUGGUGGUUGAUGCCUCAGGUAACUAAUGCACAGCUUGCUCUAGCUUCUCAUGCAUGCGAUCUGAUUAGGAUGAUACGAAUCAGGUCUCUGAUCUUUUUGAGGACAUCUGAGUAACUGAAUCAGGUUGCGUUGUAUUGAUGCUACAUCUGAUGAAGGCUGAACGUGGCUAAUGUUCCACUCAUGUUCCACAGCAGCCAUGUCUUCAGUUCCUGCACCAUUCGCCCUCUAGGGAGUGCAGAUGGGAGUUGACCAGGGGCUGUGAAUGAGGAAGGUGUCUGCUCUGAGUCCUGGUGUGCGGUAUCUCCACCUUGUCGUUUUCCUCAUGUUGCAGCGUCUGAAUCCUGGUGUGCGGUAUCUCCACCUUGCCGUUUUCCUCAUGUUGCAGGGUCCUGGAGGCUUUGGAAGACUGAGCCCAGGGGUCCUGGAGGCUUUGGAAGACUGAGCCCUGGGUAAGCACAUUUACUGUUUUUGUAUUCUGUAUGCCAAUCUGUGAUGUAAAGAUUCUGCCAAAUGAUCCAGCUGAUUAUACCCCUUCCGUUCCAUUAUCUUCUGAGGUUGGCUAUGCUUCUGUGUGGUCUGUCUGACCUGAAUUUUUAAAUGUUGCAUUCAAACUGAGUUGCCCUCGACGCUUGCCUUGGUGAAUGUCUAACCCGAUCAUGGUUCUCUUCUGUUACCGAGUCCCGGAGGCUUUUGAAGACUGAGCCCAGGGUAAGCAAAGUUAUUUGAUGUAAAGAUUCUGCCAAAUGAUCCAGCUGAUUAUACCCCUUCCGUUCCAUUUUCUUCUAAGGUUGGCUAUACUUCCCUGUGGUCUGUGCUGGAUGGAUUGCAAGUUGUAUUAAACAAUGUAUUCUCAUUGCCAGGUGCUGUGGACAUUGUUGCUGUUGAAAAUGAGCAUCAGCAUUGGCCUGAACGUUUGACAUUCUGGUGUGAAACGCCCAGACUCUUUAUUAAAUAAAAAC